GGACAUUAAAUUGAAUUUCGGACAUACAGAAUUCAGAGUUAGAAAGCAAAAGUAGACUGAUUUUUGAAUCCUAAAAAAAAUCAGUAAGGGAGUUUAGAGUUCUGAUCAGUUUUCAUAAGUAUUCUGAGAGUUUUAAGAUUUCUUUAUGCAUUCAGUUUAGAGACUAAGUCUGAGAGUUUUGUUGGCUAUUAAGAAUACUUAAGGGCUCAAAAUGGUGGAUUGAAAAUGGAGCUAGCACUGAUUUCUGGUUCCACCCUUGGCUCUCUGAUAUUCUUCUCAUUGAAAGUACCCCCACUUAUUGAUCAGGUAAACUUCAUAAGCAAAGCUUUUGAAAGGAUUGUAGGCUUGACAUCGCAAAUGCGAGGGCUGAGUCGCAAAUGCGAACUAGCCCAUGCCAGCCUUCCCUCGCAAAUGCAAAUUUUCUAUCGCAAAUGUGAUGUUUUCCAUUUUGACCAGUCGUCGCAAAUGCGACAGAAUGUACGCAAAAGCGACUUCGCAAAUGCAAUAUUAACAGAGUUAGGGUUCACAAUUGCAAACCCUGGUCGCAAUAGUGAUACCUGCAACCUGUAAAUUCAUAACAUAGACGCUUCAAUCAUUUUUCACAUCUUCUCAAAACAUAAACUCUAUACGGCAAUUUUUCAAAGGCAGUUUCUUCUCCAAAUCGAUUGUAUGUAAUUAAUAACUAGUUUUCUUCAAUCCUUAUCAUCUUUUCACAUGAUUUUAACUCAAAAUCAAUAGUUUUCACGAGAAAAAGUGGGUGUUUUGGGUAGAACCUAGGUUUUUCAAAAAUUAAAAAUUUGGACCGCGAUUUAAGGUCCGAUUUCAAAACAAAUUAUAUAUUUGGGUUCGUGGGGGAAUGGAUAAUCAAGUUCUGGUUCGAACCUGGAGUUGUGACCAUGUGGGCCAGGGGCAAUUUUUGACGUUUUGGGUAAAACUUUGGAAAACUCAUUUUCAUGCAUUAGAAUUGAUUCAAUUAGUAUUUAUGGAUGUAAUUAAGUAACUUAUGGCUAGAUACGAGCGAAUUGGUGAUGGAAUCAUGAGGUAAAGCGAUAAUUGAGACUUCAAUUAUGUUCGAGGCAUCAAGGUAUGUGUUUGGUCUAACUUUAGCUUGAGUAAUUAGUGAUUGUGUCCUAUUUGUUACGUGAUAUUUGUUGAGUACGACGUAUAGGCAUGAUGACGAGUAUCUAUACGUUGGUGUCAAGCAUGCCCGUGAGUCUUCUAUUAUGAUUAUGAUGACUUCGUUGUGUUGUUCAUGCCUUUUGUGAUGAUUUCAAUUGUUGAGCAAAGUUUGUUGGAGUAAUGGUGAUAUUUGAACAUUGAGGAGCAUUGUCUCAAGUUGUAUAUGGAAAUGUGGAAGUAUAAAUGGCAAUUGAACCUUUUAGAGCAUUGGCUCAUGUUAUGAAGUGAGUUAUGAAUUAGAAGUUAAAAAGGAAAGAGAAUUAAUUAGUUGUUUCCCUUGUCGGGAUAUUGUUGCUUUUGAUGUUAUCUCCUUUGCCGGGAUUUGGUUGUUGAACUAUUAUUUUCCCUUGCCGGGAUUUUAUUUCUACCUUACUUAUUUCCUUGUCUUAUUGUUUGUGAUUUUUUUUGUGUGAGAAAGAGUGUUAAAGCACGAAGGAUGAUACCGUGUAUGAUUUUGUGAGGAAGAGCGUAAAGCACGAAGGGUGAUGCCGUACCGCAUGAUGUACAAUUCAGUGCCAAUUAUAUUGAUUAUCUGGUGAGGACGAGAGUAAAAGCACGAAGGGUGAUGCGACUCAGUGAUUCUUGAUCCUUGUUGAUAACGGAGAUAUGGUGUUCCUUUUAUUUAUCCGUUGUCUUUCUAUUGUUAAUUGAUGUUCCCCCGCAACAUGUUCCCCUUUCCAUACUGGACUGUACAUUACUAUUCUUCUUUUCCGAUGUAUAUGGUUAAAACUUCACAGGUUUAUCUGGUUGUCCGGUCCUAGAAUUGUCACUACUUCGCCGAGGUUAGGCUAGGCACUUACCACCACAUGAGGUUGGUUGUGCUGAUACUACACUCUGCAGAUUGUGCAGAUCCCAGAGCAACAGCAACUUUUGGACCUUAAUUUGGGUGGCUGGCUUCAGUCCAUUCGGAGAUCCAAGGUAGUCCUGCAGGCGUCCGCGGGCCCUGGCGUCUCCCUCUAUCCCUUCAUCCUGUUUCAAUUACUUAUUUCAGAAACAGUGUAUCAUUUAUCUUUCAGACUUUGUUUGUAGUAAUCUUAGACCGUCUGUGUAGCAAUGACUCCAGUUCUUGGUAGUUUUGUUUAAAAUAAUUGUAGACAAUUAAUUCCAACGGCUCAAUUUAUCUAACAAUGUCGGUUUAAUUUAG
rnacentral:lncRNA from 1 species